rnacentral:rRNA from 1 species
AUUGAACGCUGGCGGCAGGCCUAACACAUGCAAGUCGAACGAGUGGCGGACGGGUGAGUAAUGCCUGGGAAACUGCCCGAUGGAGGGGGAUAACUACUGGAAACGGUACCUAAUACCGCAUACCAUCGGAUGUGCCGAGAUGGGAUUAGCUAGUAGGGUGGGUAACGGCUCACCUAGGCGACGAUCCCUAGCUGGUCUGAGAGGAUGACCAGCCACACUGGAUCGGAGCCACGGUCCAGACCCCUACGGGAGGAGGCAGUGGGGAAUAUGGCAAAAUGGGAGCAAGCCUGAUGCAGCCAUGCCGAGUGUGUGAAGGAGGCCUUCGGUUUGGAAAGUAAUUUCAGUGGGGAGGCGUUACUCGCAGAAGAAGCACCGGCUAACUCCGUGCCAGCAGCCGCGGUAAUUC